rnacentral:rRNA from 1 species
UUAAUAGCGUGCUUCGUUUGACGUUAGCUGCAGAAGAAAGCACCGGCUAACUCCGUGCCAGCACGCCGCGGUAAUACGGAGGGUGCGAGCGUUAAUCGGAAUUACUGGGCGUAAAGCGCAUGCAGGUGGUUUGUUAAGUCAGAUGUGAAAGCCCGGGGCUCAACCUCGGAAUUGCAUUUGAAACUGGCAGACUAGAGUACUAGUAGAGGGGGGUAGGAAUUUCUAGGUGUAGCGGUGAAAUGCGUAGAGAUCUGAAGGAAUACCGGUGGCGAAGGCGGCCCCCCUGGACAAAGACUGACGCUCAGACUGCGAAAGCGUGGGGAGCCAAACAGGAUUAGAUACCCCUGGUAG